rnacentral:ncRNA from 1 species
GACGGUUCUUUGAUGAGAUGAAAAGGGAAUGCGGUGCGGGGAAACCUCCCCAAGGCCGCGGCUGCCCCCGCAACUGUAUGCGGUGAAUCCUUCGUCAGAUGCCACUGGGAGUCUCGGUCCUGGGAAGGCGACGAAGGGUAACGACCCGCGAGCCAGGAGACCUGCCGUCAGCCG